rnacentral:lncRNA from 1 species
GCCGUUCUUUGAUUCUCUGCACCCAGGCUGAUAUUCAAGCAAAUGAAACUGUAUAUUAAAGCUACGUACAUUUUAUGUGACCCAUGGCAGCUGUAUACUUGAGGAUGUGUGGGGCUCUGUGAAAGCCUGCCAAUUCAGACCCGUUCAGGGUGACUCUGAAUUCUUCAAGUGCAGGUGCUGGCGGCGGGUCUGGGUCAUCGGCUGUGCGUUUCUGCUGAAGUCAGACGGAUGACCCGCUAGGCAAGAGUGCCUGGAAUCCCAGCCUCUGCUCCGUGGCGGCCGGCUCUGCAAAUCCUGUCGUGUGGGCUCUCAUGACAAACCCAGUCCUUCAGGACGGGCCUCCAGGAAGUUCACUGGCUGGGGAAGAUAAUCGCUGUGAGCCCGGGAGGCCCCGCUGUGGCCCGCCUGUCCGAAGCAUGUGGCUCUCGUGGCCGCUAAUGGCUUGGACUGCUGGGCCUGCGCCCCACACUCUGCUGUCCACGCAGCCCCUCCCCACAGCCACUACCUUUCAGCUGACCUGCCCUUGGAACUGUCUUUACAACGGAGACUCUCCAUCUGCCUGUAGAAAUAUUUUUGCAGAACUGGCCUUUGGUGCUCCUGAUUGUGAGUGCGUAUGCUUUACACAAAAAAAUGUGUCGUAGAGAAGUUUCAUAUUGAUGAAAUUUGUAUGACUCCGAGGCUUUUAAACUCACCAGAAGGGAAUCCUUUGGGGCACCUGGGUGGCUCAGUCGGUUGAGCAUCCGGCUUCGGCUCAGGUCAUGCUCUCAUGGUUUGUGGGUUCGAGCCCCUCGUUGGGCUCUGUGCUGACCGCUAGCUCAGAGCCUGGAGCCUGCUUCAGAUUCUGUGUCUCCUUCUCUCUCUGACCCUCCCCUGCUCAUGCUCUGUCUCUCUCUGUCUCUCAAAAAUAAAUAAAAACAUUAAAAAAAAUUUUUUUAAAAAGGAGGAGGGAAUCCUUUAACAAAGCAGGGAACACUCCCUGUAACUGCUCCACUAAGUCCACACACAAGGCAGACGUGAGGUUGGGCUCC